rnacentral:rRNA from 1 species
GAUGAACGCUGGCGGCGUGCCUAAUACAUGCAAGUCGAGCGAACGGACGAGAAGCUUGCUUCUCUGAUGUUAGCGGCGGACGGGUGAGUAACACGUGGAUAACCUGCCUAUAAGACUGGGAUAACUUCGGGAAACCGUAGCUAAUACCGGAUAAUAUUUUGAACCGCAUGGUUCAAAAGUGAAAGACGGUCUUGCUGUCACUUAUAGAUGGAUCCGCGCUGCAUUAGCUAGUUGGUAAGGUAACGGCUUACCAAGGCAACGAUGCAUAGCCGACCUGAGAGGGUGAUCGGCCACACUGGAACUGAGACACGGUCCAGACUCCUACGGGAGGCAGCAGUAGGGAAUCUUCCGCAAUGGGCGAAAGCCUGACGGAGCAACGCCGCGUGAGUGAUGAAGGUCUUCGGAUCGUAAAACUCUGUUAUUAGGGAAGAACAUAUGUGUAAGUAACUGUGCACAUCUUGACUGUACCUAAUCAGAAAGCCACGGCUAACUACGUG